CUACGGGACGCUGCAGUGGGGAAUAUUGCACAAUGGAGGAAACUCUGAUGCAGCAACGCCGCGUGGAGGAUGACACUUUUCGGAGCGUAAACUCCUUUUAUAUAGGAAGAAGAUGACGGUACUAUAUGAAUAAGCGCCGGCUAACUCCGUGCCAGCAGCCGCGGUAAUACGGAGGGCGCAAGCGUUACUCGGAAUCACUGGGCGUAAAGUGCGUGUAGGCGGAUUAAAAAGUCAGAAGUGAAAUCCUAUAGCUUAACUAUAGAACUGCUUCUGAAACUCUUAAUCUAGAAUAUGGGAGAGGUAGAUGGAAUUUCUGGUGUAGGGGUAAAAUCCGUAGAGAUCAGAAGGAAUACCGAUUGCGAAGGCGAUCUACUAGAACAUUACUGACGCUAAGGCGUGAAAGCGUGGGGAGCAAACAGGAUUAGAUACCCUGGUAGUC
rnacentral:rRNA from 1 species